UUCACGAAUGUCAGCGGGAAGUUCAUUCCACAAAAAUGGACCAGCCUUGGCAAAAGCUCUGUCGCCAAAAGUUUUCCUCAUUGUCUUGUGAAACUAUUAGCAAAUUUUGCUCAUUCGAGCGCAGGCUGUAGCAACCAAUAUGCUUAGGUGUCAGAAGGUCUGAGAUAUAAGGCGGUCCAUUAGCAUGAAGAGCCUUGUACACCAGCAACAAAAUCUUGAAAAUCACCCGAUACCGUACAGGAAGUCAAUGAAGGUCAAUCAGUUUCUUUUUUAAGGAAUUUUUACUGGGGGGGGAGAGGGGCAAAACAGGAAAAAAGGCAGAACGAAAAAUAUGAGCCGUCGAGGUUUGGCGAACGUGCGAGUCUGAAGAGAGAUUUUGUAAAACUUUAAUUUAUUAACUUGAGCUAUAUUUUACUAGCUUUAAACAACAACUUCAACUCUUUGUAGCUAUAAUCGUACAGCUAUAACCAGUGGUCAGCCAAACCUUAAAUUGGCGGGGGGGGGGCGAACCUCACGCCGACGGCGUGAGACCGUAUAGGAGUGUCCGGGGUCCGGAAAAUUUUGAAAUCCCGGAUCCCUGAAUUGCGAUUUCAUGCAUUUUGGGGGUUAAAUCUAGCAGAAUUCCUAAGAUUAUAAAGUACAUCGAAGACAUGAAUUUUUCCAGACAUUUCUACUCGAAAUUAAAUAAAUUGGAAAAGUCACCUUGAAAAAUAGGAGGAGGGGUCAGUGUCACCUUAUUUCCUCUCUGUGAUGCUGG